rnacentral:rRNA from 1 species
GACGAACGCUGGCGGCGCGCCUAAUACAUGCAAGUCGAACGAGUACGCACUUCGGUGCAAUGUACGAGCGGCGGACGGGUGAGUAACGCGUAGAAAUCUGCCUAGUAGUGGGGGAUAGCCCAGAGAAAUUUGGAUUAAUACCGCGUACGCCCUACGGGGGAAAGCAGGGGACCUUCGGGCCUUGCGCUAUUAGAUGAGCGUGCGUCGGAUUAGCUAGUUGGUGGGGUAAUGGCCUACCAAGGCGACGAUCCGUAGCUGGUCUGAGAGGAUGAUCAGCCACACUGGGACUGAGACACGGCCCAG